rnacentral:lncRNA from 12 species
GGGACACACCUGGGACAGGUGAGAGACAACUGGAACAGGUGAGGGGACACUAGGGACACACCUGGGGCCAUUUGGGGACACACCUGGGGCCAUUUGGGGACACACCUGGGGCCAUUUGGGGACACACCUGGGACACCUGGUGACACUUGUGGCUGUCUGGGGACACCUGGGGACAAUUGGAACACACCUGUGGCCAUUGGGGACACACCUGGGACAGGUGAGGUGGCACUGGGGACACCUUGGGGACAUUGGGGACACACCUGGGGACACCUGUGGCCAUUUGGGGACAUUGAGGACACACCUGAGGCACACCUGGUGACAUCUGGGGACACACCUGGUGACAUUUGGGGACACACCUGGUGACACCUGUGCCCGUUCCCGUUCCCAGGCCGUGUCCCAGCAGCGGCUCCGGGCGGAAGCGGCCGAGGAGCAACUGGGGAAACUGGGAGAGACCCUGAGCAGGUCCCUGUCCCUGUCCCUGUCCCUGUCCCUGUCCCUGUCCCUGUCCCUGUCCCUGUCCCUGUCCCUGUCCCUGUCCCUGUCCCUGUCCCUGUCCCUGUCCCUGUCCCUGUCCCUGUCCCUGUCCCUGUCCCUGUCCCUGUCCCUGUCCCUGUCCCUGUCCCUGUCCCUGUCCCUGUCCCUGUCCCUGUCCCUGUCCCUGUCCCUGUCCCUGUCCCUGUCCCUGUCCCUGUCCCUGUCCCUGUCCCUGUCCCUGUCCCUGUCCCUGUCCCUGUCCCUGUCCCUGUCCCUGUCCCUGUCCC